UGGCUCAGAUUGAACGCUGGCGGCAUGCCUUACACAUGCAAGUCGAACGGCAGCACGGAGCUUGCUCUGGUGGCGAGUGGCGAACGGGUGAGUAAUAUAUCGGAACGUACCCUGGAGUGGGGGAUAACGUAGCGAAAGUUACGCUAAUACCGCAUACGAUCUACGGAUGAAAGUGGGGGAUCGCAAGACCUCAUGCUCGUGGAGCGGCCGAUAUCUGAUUAGCUAGUUGGUAGGGUAAAAGCCUACCAAGGCAUCGAUCAGUAGCUGGUCUGAGAGGACGACCAGCCACACUGGAACUGAGACACGGUCCAGACUCCUACGGGAGGCAGCAGUGGGGAAUUUUGGACAAUGGGCGAAAGCCUGAUCCAGCAAUGCCGCGUGAGUGAAGAAGGCCUUCGGGUUGUAAAGCUCUUUUGUCAGGGAAGAAACGGUGAGAGCUAAUAUCUCUUGCUAAUGACGGUACCUGAAGAAUAAGCACCGGCUAACUACGUGCCAGCAGCCGCGGUAAUACGUAGGGUGCAAGCGUUAAUCGGAAUUACUGGGCGUAAAGCGUGCGCAGGCGGUUUUGUAAGUCUGAUGUGAAAUCCCCGGGCUCAACCUGGGAAUUGCAUUGGAGACUGCAAGGCUAGAAUCUGGCAGAGGGGGGUAGAAUUCCACGUGUAGCAGUGAAAUGCGUAGAUAUGUGGAGGAACACCGAUGGCGAAGGCAGCCCCCUGGGUCAAGAUGACGCUCAUGCACG
rnacentral:rRNA from 1 species